rnacentral:rRNA from 1 species
GAUGAACGCUGGCGGCGUGCUUAACACAUGCAAGUCGAACGAUGAAGGAGAGCUUGCUCUCCGGAUUAGUGGCGAACGGGUGAGUAACACGUGACUAACCUGCCCCUUUCUCUGGGAUAACGCUCCGAAAGGAGUGCUAAUACCGGAUACGAACUCUGAACACAUGUUCGGAGUUGGAAAGUUUUUCGGAAAGGGAUGGAGUCGCGGCCUAUCAGCUUGUUGGUGAGGUAACGGCUCACCAAGGCGACGACGGGUAGCCGGCCUGAGAGGGCGACCGGCCACACGGGGACUGAGACACGGCCCAGACUCCUACGGGAGGCAGCAGUGGGGAAUAUUGCACAAUGGGCGCAAGCCUGAUGCAGCAACGCCGCGUGAGGGACGACGGCCUUCGGGUUGUAAACCUCUUUUAGUAGGGAAGAAGCGAAAGUGACGGUACCUGCAGAAAAAGCACCGGCUAACUACGUGCCAGCCGCCGCCGUAA